rnacentral:lncRNA from 1 species
CCUCGGGGGCGGGGCCGCCGGAAGUUGGGCGUUGCCUCGUCGCGCGAGUCGGUUGCUCGCGGACCCGGCCUUGGAGACGCAGGUUCGGAGCCCUGAGAUUUGAAUGGCGUCGCGCCGUGGACUUUUGUUGAGAGAAUCAGCCUCCAACCCACAACAUCGUGGUGAAUGGGAAAGAAUGUGUAAACUUUGCCUCCUUUAAUUUUCUCGGGUUGCUGGCCAACCCCCGGGUGAAGGGAUCCUUGGAAGCCCAUAUUCACCUCAAUGGAGGCUGCCAGCAUGCUGAGUUCUCCAGGCCCUCCCAGCUCAGUCAGGAGGGCAAAGCAGUAUUACCCUGUCCUAUGUCUGCCUUCAAUGCCAGAACGGUGGUCAGCAUGACACUGUCAACUUUCCAGGAGGGCAGCAGCUACAGAGACCCCUGGUCAUUUGCCAUUCCUUCUGGUCCACUGGAUAUACAGGACCCAUCUGACUGUGGGCAGGGGCCGAAUAUUUGGUAUGGAGACGAUUUUAUAAUACCACAACCAAUCAAGUACAAAGUGUGGACUGCAGUUCCAAUGGAUACAAGCACAAAACAAUUCCCUCACCUUAUGUUGAAGAUGCCAAAAGGAGGAACCCCCAGCCCUCUGAGAACAGCUACUCCCAUCACCAGCAAGGGUCACUAUGACCUAGAAGAAAGCAGAGUGGUGUGCCAUAUUAGUUGUGGCCAUCAUGCCAUCCCCAGAGGUGACAGUCAUUCAAUGAAGAACAGCUUUCAGCGCGUGGCUUCUGUCUGCACUAAGCUGGGCACAAGGCAAGGUCAGCAUUUGGUUGUCCUUGAAGCAGCUUCUAGAAGUGAAGGGCACAGAGACAUGACAGUGGCACUGAGACUCAUGCUCACCCCACAUCCCUAGCUGCAGCUAAGGCUUGCCAUCCCAGCAUCAGAGAAACCGUCGUAGAAAACCUUCACAUAUGUGGAGAUGCACUAAUCUGCCAGCGACCCCCCACCACUGGGUCUUGCUCAACCUGCCCCUCUGGUUUUGUCCUACAUUUGUGCCUGUGAAGGUAUGGCUGUGCAGAGGCACAAGAAGGCCCAAUAGCUCACAUGCCACAAGGAGGGUUCAGGAAUGUUGGGGUGUGGUGGUCUUCAGCUAAAAUUUGGAAGACUCCUGCAUCUAGUCUCCUGAGGGAAAUGAAUCCCCAGGAGCAAAGCCCAUGCUCUCCCUGCUGGAGCCAGUAGAAGCCACAGAGUCUCCCACCAUGAGAAGGCCACAGUCACCGUUUUCCUAACUUAUGUGCAUGUGUGUGCCUGUUUGUUUAUAUGUGCACAGCACAGCUGCAUUGUCUGUGGAGGCUUCAGAUCCCUGCAACUGGAGUUACGGGCAGCUGUGCACCACUUGAUGUGAGCACCGGGAACCAAACCCAGGUCCUCAGCUAGUGUUCCUAACUGAUGAGCUUUCUCCCCAGCUCCUCCACAUUUCUCUUUAGAAACUGAUAGAGCCCACCCAAGGUUCCCCUUAGACACGCCCUCCAGACCUUCACAUACCCCACAGAGACCCCUAGACACUCCCCCAUGGACAUUUAGGGACAUCCACACAGAGAACCCCAAAGUUCCCUCUCAGACCCUCUCUUCCAGACCUUCAAGCGCCCUCCAUAGAGACUUCUGGCCAACACAGAAACACAUGUAAUAACACCCUCAACACCAGCAAUAGCACGUGAGCUCCAGAGCCCACAGAGAUCUCACAGAAACCCUUACAUUCUCAUGUCAUCAUGCCAGCCACACUACACAAAGACUGGAAUAUGCUAACAUGUCGUCCAGGAAAGGUGGCCUACUAGGCCUCUUGAUUCUGACUUCACCUGGCUCCAGCCAUUUGCUGUCAUCUGCGGUGAUGACGCCAAAGCACCUGCUCCCUUAGCUCAGGACCUGGACUCCCCACCACCUGUUCAUUGAAGCCUUAACGAUCUUUACCAUUCCUCAGCAAUGGUCACAUGACCCCAAGAUGACUCUCAACUUGGGGAUCCUUCUGAAGCUUUGGAAUAAGCACCCCACACACUACCCUUCUAUUCCUGGGGUAACCAGCUGAACAUUUCACACAUCAUUUUCACUAUCAUGGAAGCUCAGAGGGAAGCAUGCUCAGGUUUUGUAUACCAUGGUCCCUGGAGUGAGGCAAACUUUAGUGGUUUCCCUUGCUUCAGCUAUAAAACAGGGCAGCGGGUGAGUGUUAAUACUGCAUGAAGGGAAAUGAGUUGCAAGACUGAAACACUAUGGUAGCCUUCUGGAUCAUUUUCCUAUCAUUCUUUUUUUGUGUGUGUGUGCAUUGUCACUGAUGUGAUUUUCACUGCUAAACCAUACACAAUAAAGUUUUUCCAAUAAAAUCAAACAAUGUCAUUUUAGCACAAAAGUUAGCAUUUGUAUCUAUUAGAAAGUCACAGUACACACAAUAAAAUAAUCUGCAUAAUCUUUCAGGUCAUUUUUUUCCACGUCACUUCCUGGCACAUGGCACGCACAGGGCUUACCUAACUUCCUCUGAUGGUAAAGGUCUCGUCCACAAUCCCAAAGCAUUUGCAGCUUUGACCUUGAAAACAUGGGCCUUACGGGGUUUGGCCCUUCCAAGC